UACGUAGGGUGCGAGCGUUAAUCGGAAUUACUGGGCGUAAAGCGUGCGCAGGCGGUUGUGCAAGACAGAUGUGAAAUCCCCGGGCUCAACCUGGGAACCGCAUUUGUGACUGCAUAGCUGGAGUACGGCAGAGGGGGAUGGAAUUCCGCGUGUAGCAGUGAAAUGCGUAGAUAUGCGGAGGAACACCGAUGGCGAAGGCAAUCCCCCUGGGCCUGCACUGACGCUCAUGCACGAAAGCGUGGGGAGCAAACAGG
rnacentral:rRNA from 1 species